UCCUACGGGAGGCAGCAGUGGGGAAUAUUGGACAAUGGGCGCAAGCCUGAUCCAGCCAUACCGCGUGAGUGAAGAAGGCCCUCGGGUUGUAAAGCUCUUUUGUUGGGAAAGAAAUCCUGUUGGCUAAUACCCGGCAGGGAUGACGGUACCCAAAGAAUAAGCACCGGCUAACUUCGUGCCAGCAGCCGCGGUAAUACGAAGGGUGCAAGCGUUACCCGGAAUUACUGGGCGUAAAGCGUGCGUAGGUGGUGGUUUAAGUCUGUUGUGAAAGCCCUGGGCUCAACCUGGGAAUUGCAGUGGAUACUGGAUCACUAGAGUGUGGUAGAGGGUGGCGGAAUUCCCGGUGUAGCAGUGAAAUGCGUAGAGAUCGGGAGGAACAUCCGUGGCGAAGGCGGCCACCUGGGCCAACACUGACACUGAGGCACGAAAGCGGGGGGAGCAAACAGGAUUAGAUACCCUGGUAGUCCACGCCCUAAACGAUGCGAACUGGAUGUUGGGUUCAACUUGGAACCCAGUAUCGAAGCUAACGCGUUAAGUUCGCCGCCUGGGGAGUACGGUCGCAAGACUGAAACUCAAAGGAAUUGACGG
rnacentral:rRNA from 1 species